ACAAGCGCAGAACAUAUGCUGCUGGAACGGUUUCCUAACUAACAUGAACGCGCACAUUCCCUUCCGCGGGGGAUUUGUUAAACCUGCUUGUUGACCUCAGCGAGGAUUUACAUCGCUCUGAUCGCGUUUUCUUUUGAAACUUCCUGGUGAGAGGAAUUGAGUGAGUUUGUUUUUCGUUGUGCUGUACAGGUUUGUAGUAUCCACCGAACUUCACAAACACUUAAGGUGUAGGUGCAUUUCACCCGCCUGGUUAAUCUCCCUCGUUUCGGCGGGCGUAAAUUACUUGCUAAAACACAUACGGGACCAGAAGAAUGUGGCAGUUGCAAGUGUUUGUUUAAAACUCAACACACCGUCAACGCAUCAUCUUGUGCUGUAGGUGUUUGUAAGAAUUUUAUAUUGUAUUCUGGAGGCAUCGCCUGUGCGUUUUAAGGGAAACGCAGAGAUAUCCUCAAAGCACAACAUGGGCAGCACAGUGAUGGACACUAAAAGGAAGGAUGUUACGAAGAAGAACUCUAAGAAGAAAAGAACGCUUCGGUUAAACAUGCCAGACCUGAGUUCCUUCGCCUUGCCCCUCCUGGACGGAGAGGGGGAGAGAGCUGACAGAGACUGCACACGCAAGAGGGAAGAGAGCGUCUACUCGGCCAGCCCCAAAGGCUUCUUCACCCGGGGCCCGAGUGGGCGCCCCCCCAGCCCUCGCUCCGCCCCCAUCAGGCUCAAAUGCAGCCCCAGCUCCUCCCCCAAAACCAUCUUCCCCUACCCCCCCCAGCAGGAGUCCCCCAAGUCCCCCCACCGAAUGAGCUUCAGCGGGAUCUUCCGCUCCUCCUCCAAGGACUCCACCUCCUCCAGCACCUCCUCUUCGCCCUCCCCCAUCAGCAUCAAGCUCUUCUCUCGCACCAGGAAAGCUUCAGGGCUUUCCACUCCGCCCACGACCCCGACCCAGACGCACAAACAGCACUCUUUCUCCCCGGAGACCCCCCGGAAUGAUCCGGAGGGGCAGGAGGUGCGUGUGCGCACCUCAUCCCUGCUUCUGGACACCAGUCAGCGGCCCGCCUUCCCCUCCUCCAAGCCUCCCAUCCCCGCCACCAUCUCUAACUCUACCUCACGACCCAUGGCUGCCGUGUCCAGAUCGCAGGUCUACGGUUUAGCUGAAGGCAUGCUUGAGAAACUUGAACUAGACCCUGAAGCUGCUGAAGAACCUGAGAGUGAUAUAUACAUGCGGUUCAUGAAGUCCCACAAGUGCUAUGACAUUGUCCCUACCAGCUCCAAGCUAGUUGUCUUCGACACUGCAUUGCAAGUUAAGAAGGCCUUCUUUGCCCUGGUAGCCAAUGGGGUCCGGGCAGCUCCUCUGUGGGAGACAAAAAAGCAGAGCUUUGUGGGAAUGUUAACAAUCACAGACUUCAUCAUCAUCCUGCAAAGAUACUACAAAUCGCCUCUGGUGCAAAUAUACGAGUUGGAAGAACAUAAGAUUGAGACGUGGAGAGAGCUCUAUCUUCAAGAAACAUUUAAGCCAUUAGUAAAUAUAUCACCUGAUGCAAGUGUUUUCGACGCGGUGUACUCGCUGAUCAAGAACAGAAUUCACCGGCUGCCCGUCAUUGACCCGGUCACAGGAAACGCACUGUAUAUCCUCACGCACAAGAGGAUCCUGAAGUUCCUCCAGCUCUUCGUGUGCGAGAUGCCAAAGCCAGCCUUCAUGAAGCACACCCUGACGGAGCUAGGGAUCGGGACCUACAGCGACAUCGCCUUCAUCCACCCCAACACGCCCAUCAUCAAAGCCCUCAACAUGUUCGUGGAGAGGAGGGUGUCUGCACUGCCCGUCGUGGAUGAGUCCGGGAAGGUUGUUGACAUUUAUUCCAAAUUUGAUGUCAUAAACCUGGCGGCAGAGAAAACGUACAACAACCUGGACAUCACCGUAACGCAGGCCCUGAGGCACCGCUCGCAGUACUUCGAGGGGGUGAUGAAGUGCAACAGGCUGGAGACUCUGGAGACCAUCGUGGACAGGAUCGUGAAGGCAGAGGUCCACAGGCUGGUGGUGGUGGAUGGGAGUGGCAGCAUCGAGGGGAUCAUCUCUCUGUCGGACAUCCUGCAGGCGCUGGUCCUCAGCCCGGCAGGUAUAGACGCGCAACAUUCCUAACCCCACCCCCCUUCCCUGGGCACCAUGACCUCUGACCUCCCCCCAGGUCCGCAGGCUCCAGCACUAAGGACAGCGAGGCAGAGUGACUCAGCUGAAGGGGCUUUCAGGAGGACAGUGAGCUGGGCUGCACUGGUACCCCACUGGGCCCCUAUCCCAAAUCCACUCCGGGAGAUGAAGAGAUGGGGGCCACUGACUACUGGCCAGUGGGGGAAAAGGGGAGGGGGCGGGGCUGAGUGCUUUUCCUUUCACUGUCGGAGGGAGGCAGUUAUCAUGGCCACACCCCUCUGAGUUAGUGAUGUCACUUCCUGGACUUGAUCGGACUCUGAACACAAACGGAUGUGGACCGGGCCUUUGUUUUUUUGUUUUUUUAUCAUUAUUUAUAAUUCAGUGUGUGUUCUUACAUGCAAACGACUGGACGCUCAAGCUUAUUCAUCUUCCUUUAAAGGCUCCUCAUGCACCUUUUUGUAUUUUUAUUUUUUUCCCCAAAAAGGCUCAAGGUGGUAGUAAUAUACUCAUCGGCCAUGCACCAAACCCCCACAAACCUUUGCAAAUCCGUCUCUCUUGACCGCCUUGUGUCAUUAGUACCAUGCAUGUGCUGGUAACGUGAAGGUGGGUCUGUUUACUCACACUAAAUCUUUAACACACGCAAAUCUUCAAACACCACAAUAAUGGCAGAACAAUGCCUGCUGUCAUGAAGCAAAAUUAUUUCAAAAUAUUGUUUCAAAAUACAUUUUUAUUUUUUUCGAAAAGGAGUCCAAGUUGUGUCUUGAAACCUGCUGUGAAGAAAGAUUGUUUAAAGCUUUAUUUUUUGAUAGAAAUUUCUAAAAUAUAUAUUUUUUGGAGGGGGCUGAAUUGAGUGCAGUGGAAAGCAGGAGCUCCCACCUCGUGCAUGAAAGUGAUAGAGCGCUACUGUUUAUGUUCAUAACAAUGCAAAAAGGUGAGAGAGUGAGAGCGAGGGAGAGAGAGAGCGAGGGAGAGGGCGAGAGAAAGAGAGGGCGAGAGAGGGUGAGAGAAAGAAAGAGAGAGGGAGAGAGGGCGAGCGAGAGAGAGGGCGAGAGAGAGAGAGAGGGCGAGCGAGAGAGAGAGAGGGCGAGCGAGAGAGAGAGAGGGCGAGCGAGAGAGAGAGAGGGCGAGCGAGAGAGAGAGGGCGAGCGAGAGAGAGAGGGCGAGCGAGAGAGAGAGGGCGAGAGAGAGGGCGAGAGAGGGCGAGAGAGGGAGAGAGAGGGAGAGGGCGAGAGAGAGAGAGAGAGCGAGAGAGAGAGCGAGAAAGAGAGCGAGAAAGAGAGCGAGAAAGAGAGAGAGAAAGAGAGAGAGCGAGACCGAGGCGUGGCGCUUUCCAAACAGCCACACAGUCCUCCAUGGGUUCUGCAUGCCUGACUCUAGUUCUCUGCGUAUCGUACUGUAUAUAAGAAGUGAGCUUCAUACUGAGACUUCAAGUGCCAGAGAAAGGUUUAUUUUUCUGCAGAUUGUAAUGUAAAGAAAUCAUGCUGUUUGUAUGACUGCUGAUGUAAUUUUAAAAAAAUAUAAUUUAAUUUGUGGUAUGUAUUGUUUAUCUGGUUUUCAGAGACGGGAACGUUUUAUCCGACAUUAAGUGUGCGUUAAUAGCAUGCAGACUACACUAUAGUGACAAUACAUGCUGUUUUUUUAAUUUGCUGAUUUGAGGAAUGAAAUAAACAGUGCUACUGAAUCUUUUA